GGGGCGCACCUGCGGGCCUAGGCGUGCAGGCAGCUCGAGGGCAUCCUGGCAGCCUCCCGACUCCAGCGAGUCUGGGCCGCGGCUGGCGGGGGGAAGCGGUUUCUUCUUACAGAGAUUCCUAUUUGAGGGAAUUCUGUUGAUUUUAAACAGAAGGAGAAAAGCCCAGCAUCGAAUGCAGCGUUGGCUUUAAAGGUCAGUGGGAGACACUGGCCUGACCAGGCUGCUUCUCCUGGAAACAACGUGGAAAGCAUCAACUUUGCAUGUCUGAAGAUGAUUGGGAAACUGAAAUGGAUUUUUGGGAGCUGUGAAUUCUUUGACUCUUGGGAUUAUGAUUUAAGGUUUUCUGUGAAAGGGGAACUCCCAGAAACCCUAAUGCCCUGACACUAGGUGAUGGAAUAUGAGCCCAGGGAAAGCCUCUGCCCCUGAAGGCUGAGUGAAGGCCCCAUCUCUGGGAUCACUCUGAUUAGGAAAGACCAUGAAAGAAUAAUCUCAUUUUGAUACUGACACUCUAGCAGAGUUUCCAACAUGGAUUUGCAGAAUUCAUUCCUUUGUUGCUGGAAAGCUGGAGAAGCCAUACACUUUUCCCCUCAGGGAGAUAUCGUUAUUCAGGGAACCCUGUAGCUAACUAAAGGGGGAAAAAAAUCACUCUAAUGGUCUCCCAAGGGAAUUCCAGUGGCUCAAGUCCUCCACCAGCUGGUCUGUAGCCCCUGAGAUGUAACAGUAGUCACAAGAACAAAGACCUUUUUUGAUAAACCUGUGAGAAAAAAGUUAUAUUGCUGCAGAACUCAGUUGAAUAAAUUCUGUAAGGAAAACAAGGGCCUAAGAAUAGCAAAACAAUACAGUAAAAGGAAUAUAAUAAUAAAUUGAUUUAAAUAAAGUCUGUUCCAACUCUCUUCCAGAGUCAGGAAUGGAGUAUUUGCUGCAUGGUAAAUCAUUUAUUCAUCCCUGUGUUUCUUGGGAAGCCAAAGUGCUACUGGCAAGAAGAACAUGACCCAUUUUUGGUUCCAUAUCAUAAAUGUGGUAACAUGAUCUGAUUAGGCUUGGGUAAUAUUUUAAAAUAUUCAAGAACAAAUUAAUAUGUUACUACUUAACUUUGAAUUUAAGUAAAUAUGUUUAACAUAAUGAAGAAACCCUUUCUCCAAUCUGCCCUGGGGCUUUCAUCAACACAUGCUGCUUUUUUUAAUGUUAAGUCUUUUUAAGGACCUUCAAGAAGCUUUAAUUAGAUAUACUGCCUUCUACAGAAUGACAAGAUGGAACAUGCCUGCUUUAUUACAGUCCCUGUGAUUCAGAUCUCAAAGAUAACAUAAUGCCACCAUUCAAGGAAGAAGUUGUUUAUUGGAAGGAAACUAAGGAGAUGCUGCAUAUUAGAUCAAGGUGUGAAAAGUGAGCAGAUUAAUGAAAGAAUUGCCAUUUUCAUCUUGGAAUCCCCCAAAGCAGCAUGUAUAAUGUGGUCAUCUUCUCUAAAUACUGAUAGUUUUCAUAAUUUAUGAAAAAUUAAAAGAAAUAUAUUUAGAACAACAGAUGUUAAGUAUUCGUGUACGUUCAGUCUUGAGUUGUGACUUUAUAUUAAUGUGGUUUCCUUUUAGCUAUUUAAUUAGUCAUUUUGUACAUUGAUAUCUGUGCAUUUCUGUUUCCUGGCUUCAUCCCACUAGGAUCAAAAUAAAACUUCAUUGGAAGAGCCUAAAGAGUUCCUCAAAGACUUUCCCUCACCACUCCCUUGGCAUCAGUUAGCAUCUCACUCUUUUAUCUCAGACUCAGUUAUGGCCCAGUGUGUGUGUGUGUGUGUGUGUCAAACAAGGAGUGAAAAUGCCUUAAAUCUCUUAAUUCUGCUUUUUUGCAACCUCUGAACUAGGAGACAUUGUUGGCAUUGCCUAUAGUUAAACCCCAACUCCCACCACUAAGAGCUACGACCUUGAGGAAGUUGCUUAACUUUCUAUUUGUUUCCAUGUCUAUAAAAUGGGAAUGAUGGUGAUGAUGUGGUGCUGAUAAUGGUGCCUUUUUUAUUGGUUUCAUGUAACGCAGUGCUUCUCAAAGUGUGUUACUUGGGUCAGCUGCAUCAGCAUCUCUUGGGAAAUUUAAUUAUGAAAAAUUAAAAGAAAUAUAUUUAGAACAACAGAUAUUAAGUAUUCAUGUACAGUUCCAUACCAGAUCCACUGAAUCAGAAACUCUGGUUUCUCCCUUUUAAGAAGACUUCCAAGAAAUUAUAUAAACAAACAAAAAUUAAAUUUAAAAUAAAAUACAAAUAAAAAGAAAAAAAAGAGAAAACGACUUCCAGAUGAUUCUGAUGCAAACUCUAGAGUUUGAGAACCACUGUUGAUGGAUUGAGUUUAUAGAAAGCAUUAGAGCCAUGCCUGGCACACAUUAAACAGUAUAUUUAUGGAUAUAUUUAAAUGAGUGCAAUAUGAUGCUGUUGAGGUAUGCAAAGUUUAAUUUAGUCCAAAAGAAGCAUGUCCGCGCUGUUCCUCCAACAAAUCCUGCUUAAUCCCUUGCCCGAAGGCUUUAAGGUAGCUUGCCAAGUCCUUCAUGAUCUGGUGCCUGCCUUCCUUUCCAGCUCUUUUAAUUCCUCUAUGUACACCAUGUCUCCAGCCUUCCCAGUUCUCAGAAAGGGAAUGGCUUUCUCACAUCUUCAAGCCUUUGCCCAUUCUGUACCUCGGCCUAGAAACAUCACCCAUCCCUUUUCUCCACUUCCUACUCUUGCAGUCUCUUGAAUUCCUACUUAUCCUUCAAAAUCCAGUGUCACCUCCUCUGUGAUGCCCCCACCCCUGUCCAGUCAGAGCCAAGAGUUCUCUGGGAUACCAUACCUCCCUGCACAUCCCACUUACAGUACUUAACCAUAGGAUUUUGUGACUAUUUACAUUUGUAUUUGUUCCCAUUGGAUCUUAAACCCCUGGAGGUCAUGGAUUU